UACGGAGGGUGCAAGCGUUGUCCGGAUUUAUUGGGUUUAAAGGGUGCGUAGGCGGUCUUUUAAGUCAGUGGUGAAAUCCUCCAGCUCAACUGGAGAACUGCCAUUGAUACUGGAAGACUUGAGUAUAGUUGAGGUAGGCGGAAUUGACAGUGUAGCGGUGAAAUGCAUAGAUAUUGUCAAGAACACCGAUUGCGAAGGCAGCUUACUAAACUAUAACUGACGCUGAGGCACGAAAGUGCGGGGAGCAAACGGG
rnacentral:rRNA from 1 species